rnacentral:lncRNA from 1 species
CUGAUCGUGUUUGCAUCAGCUUCUCUAGCAGCUGAACCUUUCUGCGUUCACAGAAGUCCCAGGCUUGUGCCCAGUGAUUCCAGGAUAGGCUCCGGACGGCCAUGACCCUGACGAGGACAAGCAGAGUGAGGGAUGGACGAGACGAACCCAGCCCUGGUUCGGGCUCCAGAUGCCACCACAGACGAGGAUGUCCAGCUGCGCUCGAUGAUGAGCCCGUUCCUCUCUGCGCCGCCCAGGUAACGUGCGCGGUCGCGCGCGAGCAAGGCGAACGGGCCCGCUGCCGUUCAGCGGCACACAGGUGGGCUGCAGGGCUGGGGCUGUUUGACGUGGCAGCCAUCCCGGACGUGACACAAAGCGGCUCAUCGGCACCAUCAUCCCCGAGUCCCGGCCGCGGUUCUGCAUCCUCGUGUCCGUCCUGCUGGACCCGAAGAGACGCCGGUGUUCGUGGCGCGCGAUCGGAGUCGCACGGCGGACGUUCACGCGGACCCGGGAGCGACCAUGUGGCUCCUGCUGCUGCUGUGCGGAGUCUUGCACUCGGUCUCGGGCUACGAGCUUGACCCCAAGAAGCUGGAGGCUCUGGCCAAAGCCAAGGUGGAGAGCUGCGGGGGGUGACAGCUCAACCGGCUGAGGGAG